rnacentral:lncRNA from 1 species
GUUUGUGCCAGAUUACCUCAGGAAACUGCAGAAAACAUGUUUGUAAACGUUUAAUAAAAUUCACAGAGCCAAGAAAUGUGCCUACAUGCAAUGAACCUGAAUUGGCUCGGUGAAACCACAGUAGUAUUGAAACCACCUUGAUAGAAAGGCUGGAGCAACAAAAGGCCUACUCAGUUGAAAUCUAAUCUGUGUUAAUUAACGCCCCUGAGAAUGAAAACACUUCUUUAUCAGUGUGUGGUUCCUGGCUAAAGCUCUC